UACAGAGGGUGCGAGCGUUAAUCGGAAUUACUGGGCGUAAAGAGCUCGUAGGCGGUUUGUUGCGUCGGCUGUGAAAUCCCGAGGCUCAACCUCGGGUCUGCAGUCGAUACGAGCAAACUAGAGUGUUGCAGGGGAGACUGGAAUUCCUGGUGUAGCGGUGAAAUGCGCAGAUAUCAGGAGGAACACCGGUGGCGAAGGCGGGUCUCUGGGCAACAACUGACGCUGAGGAGCGAAAGCGUGGGGAGCGAACAGG
rnacentral:rRNA from 1 species